AACAAGGUUUCCGUAGGUGAACCUGCGGAAGGAUCAUUACCGAGAGUUGCAGGCUUUUGUCUGCCAUCUCUUACCCAUGUCUUUUGCGUACUACACGUUUCCUCGGCAGGUCCGCCUGCCGUUAGGACCACAUUAAACCAUUUGCAGUUGCAGUCAGCGUCUGAAAAACUUAAUAAUUACAACUUUUAACAACGGAUCUCUUGGUUCUGGCAUCGAUGAAGAACGCAGCGAAAUGCGAUAAGUAGUGUGAAUUGCAGAAUUCAGUGAAUCAUCGAAUCUUUGAACGCACAUUGCGCCCCUUGGUAUUCCAUGGGGCAUGCCUGUUCGAGCGUCAUUUGUACCUUCAAGCUCUGCUUGGUGUUGGGUGUUUGUCCCGCCUUUGUGCGCGGACUCGCCUUAAAGCAAUUGGCAGCCGGCGUAUUAGUUUCGGAGCGCAGCACAAAUCGCGCUCUGUGUCUUAUACGGUAGCAUCCAUCAAGACUAUUUUACACUCUUGACCUCGGAUCAGGUAGGGAUACCCGCUGAACUUAAGCAUA
rnacentral:rRNA from 1 species